CUCCGUAUGGAUCUUAGGGCCACCUGCAACUGCAAGGGCUCUGAAAUUGACCGGGAUUCUUCGACUGCUCCAAUGGUCUUCAAGCACAAGGGGCAAGAAGGGUCACGAAUCUGGGCCUUUGGAGUCGCUUGUUCUAAGCAUUCUGCAUGAAACACAUGACUGCAGGAUAGCACCCCAGUAAUAGGCAUGUCACCACCUCUCAUGAUUCGAUGUGAGCUCCAGGGAGACUUCUGCCACAAAAACUUUUUACAAAUUCCACACUUUUGAUCUGGCACAGCACUGUUAGGUGACCUCAGAUUCUCUAUAUCCGUAUCUUCUGCUACGUCAAACCUGUCACCAUCAAGCCCCAAAUCAUAGCUACUGGCACUACUCCAUCUAAAUCCCUCUCUUCUAGAACUCGCACUGGGGUCUGGUGAUGUCUCCAAUUUUUGAAGUUCAGUCAGGGUUUUGUAGAACUUAUACUCAACACCAGAACUGUUAUCAGGACAACAAGAUGGUGAUNNNNNNNCCUGGUAUCAACCUACCAAUACUGCUGAUAUCAGCAUCACUAAAGGUUUCACACUCUGACACAGGGUUACGGAAUACUAGAGGGUAAACGGUUUUUGACAUGUANGUCGGCUUGGAAAGUUGCAAUUGGAGAAAGCAAAAGGCCGUUUGCUAGUUGAUUCCCAAUGGCUGGACUCGGACUGUGAGGAUGGGGACCCAAAACUCGGGGAUGCUGCAUUAGCUCUAACAGGAAAUGGCCUCUCAGUGGAAGGAAACCAAGAGGUCUGGAAUCUUGAUCCUCCCACAGUUGAGACAGCAACCUCGCCUAAAUUAAACUUUUGA
rnacentral:misc_RNA from 1 species